UGGGAUGUAGCUCAGUGGUAGAGCAUUGCCUGAAACAUGCAAAGCCCUGGAUUCAAUCCCCAGCACUGCAG
rnacentral:tRNA from 1 species